rnacentral:rRNA from 1 species
CCUACGGGAGGCUGCAGUGAGGAAUAUUGGUCAAUGGACGAGAGUCUGAACCAGCCACGUAGCGUGAAGGAUGACUGCCCUAUGGGUUGUAAACUUCUUUUAUAAAGGAAUAAAACGAGGCACGUGUGCCUUUUUGCAUGUACUUUAUGAAUAAGGAUCGGCUAACUCCGUGCCAGCAGCCGCGGUAAUACGGAGGAUCCGAGCGUUAUCCGGAUGUAUUGGGUUUAAAGGGAGCGUAGAUGGGUUGUUAAGUCAGUUGUGAAAGUUUGCGGCUCAACCGUAAAAUUGCAAUUGAUACUGGCAGUCUUGAGUACAGUUGAGGUAGGCGGAAUUCGUGGUGUAGCGGUGAAAUGCUUAGAUAUCACGAAGAACCCCGAUUGCGAAGGCAGCUUACUAAACUGCCACUGACAUUGAUGCUCGAAAGUGUGGGUAUCAAACAGGAUUAGAUACCCCAGUAGUC